UUAGCAUCUAUUGAUGGGGGUCAUAAUUAAAAAAAACAAAAAUGAUACAAAGUCUCUUAAAACCUCCUCCUUUUAUUCUAGUGAAGAUAUUAAAAUGAAAUAGCAAUUUGACAUGGAAUUUAUUGAGAAUCCAGCAAAAAACAUUAACUUAAUCUAGUAAUAGAAUAUUAGUGCAAUUUCAACUUAUUGUAACAAAUAAGGUGCCAGCAGUUGCGGUCAUACCUUAAACAAAUUUAAUAUCGUUAGAGUGGUACACAAAUGUAGGACUUUAAAAAAUUAAAAAUUAUAGUAAAAUGUGUUUUAAUUUGUAUUAACUAACAAUGUCUGAAUUUGUUAAUCUAAAAUACCCGAAACUUUAUAAAAUUUAGUAAACUAGGAUUAGAUACCCUACUAUAAAAAGCAAAAAUUAAAACUCUAAGCACUAAAACCGAAUUAUGGUUAAAACUUAAAGAUUAUGGCGGCAGGCUAAAUUAUUCAGGGGAACUUACCAGAUAAUAGAUAACCCCCAAGCAAUUCUACUUAACUUAAUAGUUUAUAUAUUGCCGUUUAGGACUUACUUAAAGUAUGCCCAAUCAUUUGUUAGACAAAUUUAAUACAGGUCAUGGUGUAGCAAAUAGUUAAGCCGUUGAGGUGAGUUACAAUAUUAUUUUUUUUUCAGGUGUGAUCUUAAAGAGAUCACAAAUAGUUGGACUUGAAAGUAAAGAUACUUUAUACUAUAAUGAUUAAAUCUUGAAUACUAUAUUAGAUUGUGCACAAAUCGCCCGUCACUCUCGUAAUUUUACAACAAAACAAACGAGAUAAGUCGUAACACAGUAGGUGUAAAUGAAUUUGCACCUGUUUAAGU
rnacentral:rRNA from 1 species